rnacentral:rRNA from 1 species
CCUACGGGUGGCAGCAGUGAGGAAUAUUGGUCAAUGGGCGCGAGCCUGAACCAGCCAAGUCGCGUGAGGGAAGACGGCCCUACGGGUUGUAAACCUCUUUUGCCGGGGAGCAACGGGCGCCACGUGUGGCGCCACUGAGAGUACCCGGAGAAAAAGCAUCGGCUAACUCCGUGCCAGCAGCCGCGGUAAUACGGAGGAUUCGAGCGUUAUCCGGAUUUAUUGGGUUUAAAGGGUGCGUAGGCGGAGCGUUAAGUCAGUGGUAAAAUUGCGGGGGUCAACCCCUUCCCGCCAUUGAAACUGGCGCUGUUGAGUGGAAGAGAAGUAUGCGGAAUGCGUGGUGUAGCGGUGAAAUGCAUAGAUAUCACGCAGAACCCCGAUUGCGAAGGCAGCAUGCCGGCUUCCGACUGACGCUGAAGCACGAAAGCGUGGGGAUCGAACAGGAUUAGAUACCCGGGUAGUC